rnacentral:lncRNA from 1 species
AGCGUGUCCCCCCCCACCCCCAGCCCCUCCCAUCUCGACGAGGCCUUCCCUCCCUCUUCCUAACCUGGCCUUCUCUGAGCCUCCAGGCGACCCCUGCCUCCUUUCUCGUCACUCUCUCUUUCCUUUCACAGCCAAGCUUCUCGAAAGGUCUGUCUUCACUCGCUGGCUUCCUUGCUCACCUCCAAUGUCCUCUCCAACCCACUGCUUCUUGACCUCUGCGCCGUCGAGCGGCUCUCGCGAAGCCUCUCCCAGGAAUAGCCAGACCUCCCACCUUCUGGAACCUGCCUGGGUUGGAGUCUGAACCACUGAGCGCUGAGGCCUUGGGAAAGCCAAGCCGCAGGUCGGCCUGUCCUCGACGCACUGGCAGCGAGCGUCGGCUGAAGAACCGGAUGGAAGAGGCGGGAGAGUCACCACGGACCGGCGUUCCUUCAGGUCGGUCGCCUGGCGUCUUCGGGCUGCGACUCCUUCCUGGAUCGGGCUGAAGCCAUCAUCUGUGUCCUCCGUCGGAAGGGACCUCAGACAUGUGGCUCCUGCACCCUCCAGCUCUGAAAUCACUUCGUCCCCUCCCUGGCUGCCUCGUGUCUCAUUGAGCGGCUGUGUCCGUCAUUCACAGCACCAACCUGCCACUGUCACCAUCGCUAAUGCAUAAUUCAUCUUUUUUAAGGUGACAAAUUACGCCACAGCUAAUGGCUUCGCACACCCACUUUUUUUUUCAUUUUUACGAGUUAUUUUCCCACACCUAGAAAUAAUCAUUGCUUCAGGAUGUGUCAGUUUCUCCUGCUAGGCUGUGAGCCCCUGAAGGGCAAGAAGAAGCUUGUUGAAUUGAAUCUCUGUAUCUCUAAUGCCUGAAAUGUUACAGAUGCUAAAUGUCAGUGGAGAGGAUGGAAGGGUGGGUGAAGAUGCGAGCGUGUGGUUGGUUGGUUGGCCGUUGGAGGAGAGGACGGAAGGAUGGAUGAAUAAAUGGGCUGGUGAAUGCGGGAAUGACUCUCCUAGGUUGACUGUCUGGAAUGAAAGGCUAGGGAUUUUUUUUUUUUUUUGUAUAAAUAUUGACUAAUUUCAGAAGGCUUACAGCCUUUUACUAUGUCCAGUGAUGUAUUAGCAUUUUGUUAAGAUAUUGUGAGUUUCGCUCUGUUAAAAACUGGUUUUCUGUCAUUUUAACUUGCAUUGCAUUGAUUACUAAUGAAGGUUGAGCAUUGUGACGUGUUUGUUAAAAAACUGCAUUGUAUCUUCUGUGAACUGUUUGUCCAGGGCCACUGGGUCAUGGCUUUGUGAUGAGGCUGCUCAGAGGUGGAAUGAGUGUCCUCGGGACAUAGCGGGAGGCACUCCAGGCAGAUGCUCCAUGAGGGUGGUUUUAAGGAGACUCAAGCAGUGGGAGGGGGUUGGCCCAGAUGGCCCCUCAGGACUGUUUGACUUGAGGGUUGUCCUCUUCCAGGGACGUGGGUCAGGGUGGCGUCUUCCAUUUGGCAGCCCAGUGGCAUUUCAGGCCGUGUGUCCUGGGCGGGCUUGUGCGUUGUAAUCUAUAAACUAACCUCACCCUGGGAAACUCUCAUGGGGGCAGGAAUAUCUCUUUGACCCUCUGGGGUUCAGACAGCCGUGCCAGCACCUUGGAGAGUCUGCUGGGGGACAGACACCCCAGCGACCCCGCCCCCUCCUCUAGUCCCCCGGGGUCCAAGACAGCCUCCCCGGGUGAGCAUGCGGCUCCACUCAGGGGUGAUCCGCGGAGGCCAUCUGCUGCCCUUUGCGUCCUCAGUGUCCUGUGGUGGGUGCGCAGAUGUCCCCUAGGCCUCCACGGUGGUCUUUGGGGUUUAAUGGAUUAAGGGGGGACGUGCUGGGCCAGGACUAAUCCUCCUUGAGAACGGAGGCAGUUCGGUUCUGAGAUCCAGGGAGCAGAGGGGACCCGUGUUCUCCUUGGGCUUGGUCUCACGGCCCAUCCCAGGGCUCCCCAGGGCUCCCAGGUCAUCAUGGCCGUCGGGGGAGGCCUCGCCCUUGCCUUCUCGGCCAGCGCUCCCCACUGACCCUCUACUAUAGCACUGAGCACUGUUCGCCUGCAUCCGAACCCGUCACCCCAUGUUUAUCCCAGCAUCGACGCCACGCUCGGGAGGCCCGCGGUGAUCCCUGAUGUUAACGUCCUCCAUCCAUCCACCCGUCCAUGCCUUUGGCCUAUGUUUCUUGACCUUGGCUUUGGCCUUUCCCUCUCCUGAAAGCGAACCUUUUCCUUUGGGGCAGGCUGUGUGGCGCCAUGGGCUGUGGUGAUGAAAGGAACGCCCUGACUUGUGGCUUCUUCCUCCGGGGUCACUGCUCUGAGCACGUCCCAGCUGGAUGUCAUCUGCCACCGUCACCCACACGGCUUCCUUCCCCAUGGCGCUGCUCCAUGCAUCACACACUGCGAUGGAGCCGGGGCCAGGGCCCGAGAGCGGCCCCCUUCCUCGCCCCUCCGCCCGGGAGCGGAGGUGUCCCCCCAGGCCCCACCCUGCCUGGUGCAUGGUCCCUGCCAUGAGCUUUGCCCUCAGCCAUUCAGCUUCCUCCACCAGAUGGCAGUGGUUGUGACCCAUCCAUUCAUUCCUUCAUCCCUUCAUUCAUUCACUCACGGUCCUCCAACGUGAAGGAAAGCCCGCCGGUGCUCUACUAGAGGGGGCUCGCCAGGGCGGCCUGUGGCCUCUCCUUCCGAAAGAGGAGAUGAGUGCUUCGCAAGGGGCUGUGUUUGCGUGUCAGGAACGAGGCGGGACCCUUGCUUCGGCUCCAGGUCUUCGACCCGAGUCGUGUUGCACCUUCUCCGUCCUGGUCCUUUUUCCCAAACGAGGCUGAUGAGCCAUCAGCAAACUGGGUUCCCUGGCUGCUUGGAAGUCAUAGCCCAGAGCCUCAAGAGGCCACUGGGUGGCGGGGCGGGCGGGGGGGGGGGGGGGNNNNNGGGGGGGGUCUGAAACAAAUGGCUGAUUCUGGCCGUGAGCAGGUUUUCAAGUCAUUAAAACACUCUGCUCCAGCCAAUGGGGAUCUCAGAGUCAUUCCUGUCCCUUUGAGAUUCUUUAAUUAUGGGCUCUUUUGAGAGAAAAUUGGGGUGAUGAUCGCUCGUUUGGAUGGCACAGCUCACUCCCCAUGUGGGGUCUGCACAGGACAAUCCAUUGGCACAACAGGGCAUCCGAGGUACACGGCCCUCGCAGGCCGGUCCCAGGCCAGAUGGGCCCCUCCCCUUGCUCACGGCCGCCUGCCCGGGACGGGUCAUAGGUCUUGGGGUGUUACUUAGAAUUCUGUAUUUGAUUUAUUGCCUUGGACAGUGGGCGGAGUGGACAAAGCCAGGACCCUGGGGCUGGACAAACGUGUGGGGUUGAAAUUUAUGGUGACAGCAUCCGUCUGUCUUCUGGGGGGGACCUGGGUGCCCACCUCGCAGGGCUGUUGUGAGGAGUGAUGUAAGCAGGAGUUUGAACGCUGAGAGGGUGUGCGCGUGCCCCCGGGGGUGUGCAGGGAUAGGGGGGUGCAGGAUGUGCUGCCAGGCGGGACAGCCCGACCUGGGCGGAUGAGUGAGAUGUGAUUUUGCCAAACAGGCAGGGGGUAUGGUGGGAUCGAAUGCCAGAUUUGUCUGGCAUUUCUGCAGUUAGAUAGAUUUUGGCAGGAACCUUCAUGCUGGGGAACGGGGACCCCUUUGGGCAACGCCCCGACCCCCCUGGGGUACGCGUUCACACUUAUCUCCGUCACAGGUUGGAAGGCUCCCCCUGGCCGUGUCUUCCCCACCGCUGCGCCUGGCCUGUGGGCGGCACUUAACCUCCACGAGAGACCCCUCCCCAGCAGUGUGCUCCCUGCAAAAACACUAGGCACCAGCCGUCAAAGACACUACUCCCCCCCCCAAUGUCCCCUCCCCCAGGUCACAACAUUUGGGCUCAGAUGCGAGGAGCCUGGGUGCCUAACACAGUGUCAGGCCAGGGGUAGGGGUUGUCUUCCGUUUCUGUUGGAUGGGUAGAUGGUCACAGAACGGAAUUGUAACCAAAUGCUCCUAAGAGAUUGUAUUUUGCUCCCAAUUAACCUGUUAACAGCCGUUGUAUCGUGUCAUAUGGACUUUUGAAUGAUGCGUGUUGUUUGAAAACCUGGGCUUUGCUGUGGGCGGCACUGGAUGGAACGUGAGCCGUCUGAUGAACAAGGCGGGGCUGUGUGUUAGGAGUUAGAAUCCGGGGGGCGCUUAACCAACCGGGCGGCCUUGGGCAAGUCACUUCUCCUCUCUGCCGUGGGUCACCAGCAAGCUCACCUCUCAGGGUUGCUGUGAGGGCCCAGGGAUGGGGGGACCGUGCUAAUGACAUGCUGGCUCUCACCAAGGACCGUUGUGUGUGUUGGAGGCCAUCUGAAAAGGAGCGGGGAAGUCUUUGCUGGUUCAAAGGGAAUCAGAAGUCAGCCUUGACCUUAUGCUAAGAUUGUGCUUCCAGCAGUCAGUGGGCCGUGUAAGCCAGAGGCCGGGCAGUCUGCAGGCUCUUGGCCAGGUGGGCCCAGGGUACACGUUGGUUUGAUGCAUGAGCGAUGGCCUUUUUCCUCCCUCGGAGCCCCCCCCCCCCACUUCCAUCCUGGGCUGCCGAAGCUGGCUGGGGUGACUGCUCUGGGCUGGCCCUAUCCGUUGCUGCCAGGUCUGUGGAGGUGUUUUGCAGACAUGCGGGUGCCCUGGGGGUAUGGGUUGGGGGGGACAGUGCAGAGAGAGCACAGGGGAUGUUACAACUCCUUCUCCUGCCCUUCAGGGGGAACGGCCUGUGCUCCUAAUGUCCUCACACUGUCCCCCUUCUUGCCCUGGCUGUAAAGUAGAGGAAUUAGUCUUCCGCCCCGUGCAUGGGCCUAGAGCCGGACACGGGGCUGUUAAAGGCUCUGCCCCAGGGGCUCCCCGCUGGAAUGGAGUGUGGACCCAUUUUACAGAUGAGCAAGUGGAGAAUCAGGGAGAGCUGAGACUUAGAGCCAGGGCAACAGUCCUGCAUGAGAAGCGGGAGGGGGCUCUUUCCACUUGGCCACAUGAGUCCUCCCAGGGGGCGGGGCUGGCCUCUGCCGGCCCCCAAGUGCCUGGGCAUGUGUCCCCGUCCCUGCCUGGCCCUGGACAGUGCCCCCGGGGAGUUCAGUGGGGGCCCAGAUGGACCUGGAAACUUGGCCGAGUUAGACUGUGCCCCUGCCCCAAGUCCCAGGAGGCGUCUCUGCAGGGCUCAGGGGUCUCCUUGAGACCCUCCCCGGCCCUUAUCUCAUGUGUGGGGUGCUGCAGCAGGAGUCCGUGCCAGGAAAGCUGGGGAUCUCUCCCCCUCUCGCCCUGUCUGCCCCCUGGUGGGCACUUUCCGGCCUCCUUGGUGGGCCUCUGCCCUCCCAGCCUCCCUGGGCAGGCCACUGCUCACCGUGAUGGCCCUUGCUCCUGUCCAGAGGUGGAGCCUUCAGUGUGACAUCUGGCCGCUGCACCUUUGGCCUUGCGGUGCCGGCCGCCAGGAGCACCAGCUCAGGGUGCCCGAGGCCCCUCUGCCUUGGCUUUGCCGAGGGAGCCCUCGCGGUGGCACCCUUGGUGCCUGCACUGUGGCCACCCUGUCCUUGAGACUUUGUUGGAAGCAGGGGGCCUUGCCUUGGUGCUCCCAAGGGGCCCCACGGCAGGGACAGGUGGGCAGGGCCGUACCUGUGUGUAGGUGUCACUCCGUCAUGGACCUCAGGCUCCUCAAAGGCCAGGCCUGUGUGUGACCCAGGGACGGGGCUUUUUUUAGGCACCAGUGUUUUCAUGGCCUACUCCUCUGCAGAUGGGCAGGGCUGGGUGCCCGGCUCUGGAGGGCUUAGUGAGGUCACGGCCAAGCUGCCCUUCACGCUCCCUUACUCAGACCUGUGCUUCUCUGACCCUUAACGGCCCUGCUGCUUGCACUAGUGGGUGCCUAAUAGAUGCUCAGGGAGUGACAAGGCAGGGCUUUUAAUGGCUGUGUUGAGCUAAAUUGUUAGCUGAUCGAUGUACACGUUGAAUCUGCAUGUGCAUUUUUGUUUGUUUGUUUCGUUUUUUAAGAGGAAAGUGAGUGUUUUCUUGGCAAAGACUCUUCGGGGCAAAUCCUGAGGGUCUCUGCCUGUGACGGGGGGCUCACCCUGGGGGACACAGCCCAGGGGGCAGCCACCAGACAGACCCUCCCUAUGGAAACUGCUGUUUUCUUCAGAACAUUUUGGGAAAUACUUAUAUCUAGAAUAAAACUUUAUUUGGGCU